rnacentral:tRNA from 1 species
GGGCGAGUAACUCAGUUGGUUAGAGUAUCUGGUUUACACCCAGACGGUCGCUGGUUCGAGUCCUGCCUCGCCCACCA